rnacentral:rRNA from 1 species
AUACGAAGGUCCCGAGCGUUAUUCGGAAUCACUGGGCGUAAAGGGAGCGUAAGCGGCGCGGUAAGUCAGAUGUGAAAUCUCAGAGCUCAACUCUGAAACUGCAUUCGAUACUGCCGUGCUAGAGUAAUGGAGAGGUAACUGGAAUUCUCGGUGUAGCAGUGAAAUGCGUAGAUAUCGAGAGGAAGACCAACGGCGAAGGCAGGUUACUGGACAUUUACUGACGCUGAGGCUCGAAGGCUAGGGUAGCGAAAGGGAUUAGAAACCCUAGUAGUCC